UACGUAGGGCGCAAGCGUUAUCCGGAAUUAUUGGGCGUAAAGAGCUCGUAGGCGGUUUGUCGCGUCUGCCGUGAAAGUCCGGGGCUCAACUCCGGAUCUGCGGUGGGUACGGGCAGACUAGAGUGAUGUAGGGGAGACUGGAAUUCCUGGUGUAGCGGUGAAAUGCGCAGAUAUCAGGAGGAACACCAAUUGCGAAGGCAGCUCGCUGGGACGUUACUGACGCUGAGGCGCGAAAGCCAGGGGAGCGAACGGG
rnacentral:rRNA from 1 species